AUACGGAGGGUGCAAGCGUUAAUCGGAAUUACUGGGCGUAAAGAGUACGUAGGUGGUUUAUUAAGUCAGAUGUGAAAGCCCCGGGCUCAACCUGGGAACUGCAUUUGAAACUAGUAGACUAGAGUAUGGUAGAGGGGGGUAGAAUUUCUAGUGUAGCGGUGAAAUGCGUAGAUAUUAGAAGGAAUACCAGUGGCGAAGGCGGCCCCCUGGACCAAUACUGACACUGAGGUACGAAAGCGUGGGUAGCGAACAGGAUUAGAAACCCGAGUAGUCC
rnacentral:rRNA from 1 species